GGCGGGGUCAGGGUCCUCCAUGCUGGACGAAGACCUCCCAGUGCUUUAGGGUUACCCAGAGUCCUUUCUAUGACCCUCUACUCUCGACCUGUAAGCGACCUAAGAAACAGGCUCUCCAGGGUGAACCUGGGUGAGGCUGUGCUUUGCCCCUGGGAACUCAGGAAGUAAAUGACGGUUCUAUCUCCCUAGGGAGGGCUUUUUGAAUCUAUCGCGGUCAAGGCAACCACAGAACCUCUCAGUGUUACCCACAGUUUCUGGGGCAACAGCCCUGUUUCGGUCCCUUGAACAGUGGUCACCUCCCCAGCAUUUGCUCAAGGUGUAUAACUCUCCCUCUUCACUCGUGCAGGAGAAUUUCAGAAACUAUAAAAAGAGACAGCCCCCACUCUGCCACACACACACACACACACACACACACACACACACACACACACACACACAAUCACCAACCGCAGACCACACUGAAUGCUUCAGACGCUAGCCUUUCUGCAUGGCUCGCAACCUGAAGGGCCUUUUAUCUUCCAGGGAGCAGAGAAAGCCCGCCAUCAGGGAGCAGCCAACAAAGGCCAGUCACUAGCUGCUGCCCUGCUUACUGAAGCAGCCGGGGGAGAGGGAUUGCUCUGGCCCCCUUGUUGCCAGACUGGGCUCAGGUUCUCAGUCCUCUGGGGUUGCUUUAAUCUACUUCCACACAGGCCAGCAGUUCCCAGCCACCGCGGAGUCACUUAAGGGUGGCCGCCGCUCGUCAGGAGUGUGAAGAAAUAGUGUCAGCCACGUACUCCCCCUUCAUCCAUGGGAGAUGAGUUCCAAGACCACCAGAGGAUGGCUGAUGGCGAGAUUGCCUGCUGUCUCUCUGUAAGCAUGGUGAAGCCCUGUUCACACUCUGGGAAGAGGUAAAAGCCAACACCACAGUGAUUACAAGACACCAGCUAACACGCUAUGCUGUGAGAAAGGGGGCGACUGUGGUCCCUCUGUGUCUCAGAGUAUCUGACUUCACUAUCGAGAGGGCUCUCCCUGUGUCUCCUGAGGCGACAUUGAGGCAUGAGUACCUCAUGGGACCAAAAGAGGGCGCUGCAUCCCUUGGAACCGGAGCUACAGAGAGCUGAGCGCCACCUUCCCUGUGCUGGAUUUUGAACCUGGGUCUUCUGGAAGAGCAGCCAGAGCUCUUAACCAGUCUUACCAGCCUCCAGAGGAAUGAUUCCAGCCGUAAGCUUUUACUCAUUCUACUAGAAUUGUGUACACUGUGUGUAAAUUAUUGUUGAAACUUCCCAUGUGAUAUCCUCAGCCCACUGUUGACCAAGGGCCAGUGAAACUAUAGUACAGAGAAGGUUCCGAGAGGGACGCAGCGCACCAGGUAAAAAACUGGAGUCAGAGAAAUUAUUCAACUAAUAAACGAGUUCACCUUGGAGGGUAUUAUUUCCAGUGCACAAGUGACUAGGGGUAUUGCCUAGGUCACAUACAGCCUAUUACCCCCAGGGGACAGGACCAGGAUUCUAUCUCAGGGACACUGACUGAUCUCACCUAUCCCAGCACUGAGGCCUCAAAAGUGGCCUUGGCUCCUCUAAGCCACCCAGGAGGAGACAUCUUCCUGUAAAAGAUCUCACAAGCAGCCCAGAUCUUUUCCAAGGGUUCCUCAAAAUCCAACAGAAUACACAUCUGAAUUUUUACUGCCCAUCCCAUAAUAGGAAUAUAACUUAUGAUUGCUGGCAAGCCAGGCUUCAGCCGCCUCCAUAAAUCUGGCCCUCUGAUCAAAUCCACAUGCAUUUCAGCAGAGCCGGGCCCUCGGAGGGGAGCAGGGAAGGAACUGGAGCGAGGGCUGAGGCUUUUUUGGGUUAAUCACAGCCGGAAUAUUAACCGCGAGUCCUGCUGAUUUCCUCAUGAAUAGAUUCAGACGUCCCAGCAUGCAGGCCUGACUCGGUUCACGCAGUCAGAACCUCAGAACCGCAAGUGUCCAGAACACAGGCUUCCAGAACGGGGUGAGCUUCAGCUGAAGGCCAAGAUUCAUUUCCCCUGAGAAAAACAAUGUCUCAACCACUCCAGGGGAGGUUGGGGUGGUAGUGGGGAGCUUGAAUCAUGGCGGAAGCCUCCCUGUGCGGUUGGAGGCAAAGGGGAGCAAACCACCGUUUGGUUGGAGGCAAGGGGGAGCAAACCACAGUUUGGUUUCUCACUUCCAAAACAGGCCCACAAUUUUCAAUGAACACUUGAAGGAUUUUUUUUUUGCCUUAUAACUUCAUUUCUUCCUUCCUCUUUGUUUCUUUUUAAAAUGCAACAUGCCAGUCUGUGAUUGGCUUUACUGGGUAAAGGAGGGCAGACAGGAACGGAGAAGGAAAUAGAAAUUGUUCAAAUGAAGACUAAGAUCUAGAGAGGAAAGUCCCAUGUAGCGCCCGGGCAUUCCAAGGUCAUUUUCCACGAGAACGGACACCAUCUUGCCCCAGAACUGCUGCUGUCCUUCACAGAGCCAAGCUUGCCUUCUUGUGCCUCCUGAAACAUGACAGCUCUGAGGGGGCACCAAGGGUCCCCAUUUCUCAGAUGUGGAGAUAGAGCCCAACCCCAUUCCCUUUCCUUUCCCUCUUUUUAAUGUGGCUUCAAACUCACAGUUCUUCCUCUUCAGUCUCUAAGUAGCUGGGAUUAUAGGUGUGCCCUUCUGGCAUAGGUAUUUCCCUCAGGACUGAGGAGCCCAGAGGGCCAGAUCUUUUUAAUUGUUGUUGGUGCAUCUUCAUACCUUGCAAAGAGCUUUGUGGAUACUAAGUGACCAACGAACUGCCAAGCAAACACAACAGGCGCUGAGUUGAAGCCUUCUUGAGCCCGAUAUGCAGCCUAUGCCUCAGAGUUCACCAGUGAACAGUGUCUCUGAGCUCUGAGCUCCUUGCAAGGGGAGGAGACGUGGCUUGGGCAGUGGACUGGGUGAACGUCCAUUUAUCUCCACAUGGCUCCCCUGUCAGUGAACAGAACACCCACGGUUCACACAAGAUGAUGCCAGGCAUCUCUGCCUCUCCCCUCCCUCAGCACCUCAGCGCUCAACUGUGUGAAGGGAUCCCUUCUUCCCAAGUCUAUCUCCAUCUUCCCAAUCAGGGAUUGAAUUCAGUAAGCGCCCCCUACAGACUCCUGUAUAAUACAACCAGUCGCCAGCAGGUGGGGCUGUUUGGAGGACGAUGUGGGAACUGUAGGAUUUAGUCUGGCUGAAAGAAGUCACAUGGGGGUGGGGCAGCUCUUGCCCGGUACAUUAUCCCGGGUCCCUUCCUGUCUACCAUGAUGGUCACAUUCCUCCAAUCACAGUGGCCACCAGCUUUCUCCCGGAUUCCUCUAACCCUGUCGUCCCUCACAGCUCUGCCUGCUUCUAGCCCUUCAAGCCCUUCAGGUCUGACUCUUCCCCACUUCGGCCUGUGUCGUAGUUCUGCUGACCUCUCUCAGUAGCAUCCCAAGUGGGGUGCCCCAAAUGGGAAGCACACAACGGGGCCCCGGAACGUGAAAGGAAGCUGGAAGGUUUCCAUCCCCACCUUACCCUUUAAAGGUUGCAUUAUGUGUACUCCCUAAGGUAGUGUCUCAGACCAUGGUUUGCAGAGCCCUAGGCAGGGAUCGAGUGUGUGUGGGGGAAUCAGUUGGGGGGUCUGACACCAGGGAGACAUCAGUGAGAGAGGAAGGGAAGUAGAUCACGAAGAGGAAAAAACACAAAAAAGGUGAACGUAGACAGCACCUGUGGUGUCUGACACAGGAUAACUGAACAUCAUUCUCCAUAGCCGCUACUACCCCCUCAGGUGAUUGUAGCUCGAUUCAAGUUAGCAUUAAAGGAGCGAGGCUGUGUGUCAGCUGGUCCACACAAGAUGCUCUUCUUUGAGACAAGGCUUCUCAUUGGUCUGGGCUUGCUGGGUUCACUAGGUUGACUGCCUGGCAGGCAAACUCCAGGGAUUGCCCUCCCUGCCUCCCCAGCAGCUAAAAACGACAAGAGCACAUCGCAGUGCGUGCCAGCUCUCUUCUUGUGUGCCAGAAGCUCAGAGCUCCUGGCCAAAGAGAUGCUCCUCAGGCUUAGCCAGAGCACUCUUCUCACAACAACUGGAGGGACCCCUGGAAUCUCAACCCCGGGUCACUGUAGCCUCCUUGGAUGGAGGCUGGGAGCCCCAGGCAACGACUGCACCGUCAUAGCCAUCACAAGGUGCUGCAGGAGAAGCAGAGCUGGAGCUACAGGUGCUUAGUGGCCUUGGGUAACUCCCAAGGGAGACACUUUGUGUGGGGCAGUGGGCCCCCAUCAUCAUCCCAUUUUACAGAGGAGGAAACUGAGGCUCAGGAAAGUAAGAAGUUCAUCCGAGGCCGCACGGUUAGGAGGGAUGUGAGGGUAAAGGCUCAUGUUGGUUUGACGUCCUUGGGAAGACAGACAAACUCAAAACACCUAUUGUAGUCCCACACUGUGGGCUGGAACCCAGUUGUCCCGAGGAACCAGCUGGAGCAAGGCUGCACCAUGAACCUGGAUGAGCUGCAAUCUAGGCAGUACAGGGGUCACAGAGGCAGGGAGGCUUACCCAGGACCGGGCAGUCGUGUGCCCCAACUGCCACCUCAUUACCCAGGAAUGCGGAAGAAUGAUUCCUCUAAGGGGAGUCGCUCCCCUCCGGCUUUACUGGAUCUGGUGAUUAUGACUUUUCCUGAUCUAUUACACCUAGCACUUAAGGACCUCCUACAGCUGCUACAAACCCGAAGCCCCUACCAAGGCUGACAGCCAGAGAGGAAUGCCAGCAAAGGAAGCUCCUGCCUCCAGGCUCCGGCAUUGAGUUCCUGUUCUGACUUCCUCCAGUGAUGGAUCAUGAUGUAGAAGAGCUGUGAGUCAGCAAAACCCUUUCCUCCCCAAGUUGCUUCUUGGUCAUGGGGUUUCAUCACAGCAAUAGUGUCCCUGACUAGGAGAGAGGGAUUCAACUGUCUGUUACCGGGAGACAGACACAGCUUAAGUCAUGAACUGAAGCACAGUCCGUGAACUGAAGCCAAGGCUGUGUUCAUGAGCAAAAUACGGCUGAGAUUGUGACGACUGAGUGUUGUGUGUAUGUGUUCUCUGUGUGUGAGUAUGUGGGAGUGCCUGUGUGAAUUUGUGUCUGAGUAUGUGUAUGACUGGGUAUCUGUGUAUCUCUGUGUAUCUGUGUGUGUGAGUAUAUGUGUGAGUCUAUGUAUUGUAUGUGAGUAUGUGUAUAUGCUUCUGUGUAAACAUGUGUGUAUGAGUGUAUGUAUGUGUAUGAGGGUGUGUUACGGUCUGUGGGUGAGUGUGUGUAUUGUGUAUAUGUGUAUGUAUGUAUAUAUUGUGAAUGAGUAUGUAUCCGUGUAUGUCUGUGUGUGCAUUGUGUUUGUCUAUGUCUGUAUGUGUGAGUGUGUGUGUCUGUUUGUCUAUAUGUCUAUGUGAGUGCGUGUAUGUGUUUGUGUAUGUGUGUGUAUGUGUCUAUGCCCCAGAUUCCUGAGCAGUACCUUAAGCCAGGAUGAAGUUUGAAUAAAAAUAUGCAAACACAUGUGAAUGAUCGAUGAGUGUGGUAUGAGAAUGUGUGGGCGUGUGUGUGUGUGUGUGUGUGUGUGUGUGUGUGUGUGUAGUGCAAACUUUAAGGAAAGUCUUUGGAAAGUCAGUUGUGUUGGAUGUUGUUUUGCUGGGGCAAAUAUGUAAAGGAGUGUUUUCCUGAAAUGAACACAGGUGAAAGACUGAGGCAGACUAAUGAAGGAAUGUUUCACUGAAGCAGACACAGGAGAAUGGAUGUUUUGCUAAAGCAAGCAUGUGAAAGGACACAUGAUGAAGGAUUCUUUACUAAUAAUGCACAUGUAUUGGUCUGCCUUACACUGCAUAGUUGAACUCCAUUUGUUGGACUCCAUAGAGAGAAAUGUACCAAAAAUCCUCUGGUGGUGUACUGCCGUUUCUCACCCCAUUCGUGAACUUGGGCUGAUUGGCAGAGUGAUGUCAGCUGAGACAAGACUUGUGGAGGACACGUGAUGUUUGGAGAGGAUAUAAAUAGAACUCGACAGACAGUAACAGAGGCUGAGCUAGGCUUGCGUAAGAGCUAGCUGUGCAAUGCUUGUUGGUCUCGCAUCUUUGCUGAUCUUCACUUCCCUGAGAGGCACAGUCAAGAACGUCUCCUGGUGUUCUGUUGGUCCUGCCUGCUGCCUCAUGCUGAGGCCUGGCUGUGUCUGCUAGGUCGUGCCACUGCUGCUGAUUCAUGUUUGCUAUCCCGACUCUCCUGAACAAGAUUGUCCAUGAAGUGUUUAGAACUAGCUGCCACUGCUGACCUGUGAACCGAACUGCUGAUUUCCAGACAACACAGACAGGAGUUGCUCCAAAGAAACAUUUCUAAACAGGUCCACUCCCCCUGUAUCCUUUCUCUCCCACUACCUCUGGUGGGUGGUAGGCUACAAGGGAAGUUAAAGCAUUUAAGAACCAUCAUUAAAAGUAAGGUUUAAAAAAUAUGUAAAUUACACAUGUGUGGGUGGAUAGACAUGUAUGUGUGUGAGGUGUGUGUGGGCAUGUGUGUGGGAUGUGAAUAUGUGGGCAUGUGUGAUGUGUGUGGGUUGUGAGUGUGUGGAUGUGUGUGGAAUGUGUGGACAUAUGUGUGGGGUGUGAGUGUGUGGGUGUGAGUGUGUGGGCAUGUAUGUGGGAUGUGAGUAUGUGGUCAUGUGUGAUGUGUGUGGGGUGUGAGUGUGUGGAUGUGUGUGGAGUGUGUGGACUUAUGUUCGGGGUGUGAGUGUGUGGGCAUAUAUGUGGGGUGUAUGUGGGUAUGUGUGUGGGGGUAUGAGUGUGUGGACGUGUGUUUGUGCGUGUAAUACGAGUGUGUGAUGUGUGAGUGUGUAGACAUGUAUGUACAAUGUGUGUGUGAACAUGUGUGUGGAGUGUGUGAGUGUGGAACAUGUGUGCGGGAGAGUCUGUAUCCUGAACCCAGAGGAGGCAUCAGGAGUCCUGAUCCAUUCUCUCCUACCUUUGAGUCAGAGUCUCUUCUCUCACUGAACUCAUGAGUAGCAAACCUCGAUGAUGCUCACACCUCCUCCCCCACAGCUCUAGGGCUGUAGAUGAGCACCCAGCCCUGCCCACACUUUAGCUUCUUAAAAGGAAGCUGAGGAUUCAAACUCAGGUCCUCAGGCUGUGUAUCAGGCGCUCUUGCCUGCGGAGUCAUCCUCCCAGCACUGACAUGUUUUUAAGACAAUCUCUAAGAGUUCCUUUUUAUUUCAGAUAGGUCUUCUUUGAUUUCACAAAUACCUCUUUCCACCCGCUGCUGUAUUCUUGUUCCCUCCACGGUGUCUUUUGAUUAUUAUUAACGGCAAUGGCUGUUUUCCAAGUUUCCAACAUCCCUCUUUAGUUAACACUUUGGUGCGGUGUUUAAUGGUCUUUGCUGACUGCAGGAACACAGCCCAGACCUGUGUUGUGUUUGCCUAGAAGCUUCCCUUUGUGUCUGCACGUGUAGAAAUGUAAUCACCAGGAAUUGACUUUUGUGGCUGGGGUGAGGCAGAGCUCAGAAUGUUCCAGCCUCUGUCCCCACCCCAUGCCAAUUUCCACUUAAGCCAACACCAGCCUUUUGGUUCAAUCUCCUUUCUCCCUGCUUGCCCUGAGACCUUGCAGAUGCAUUUGCGUGAGUCCGUUUCUGACCUUUUUGCUCUUGCUCAGCUGGGCCACGUGAGCCUAUCUUUAAGAAGGUCUAUUUGGAAGGGAGAAGAAACACCACCGCAUCUGCUGUGUCACGAACACAGCCCUGGUCAGAGGAGGGCGAAGAAAGCCACCCAGCCUCCAGAGACAGCAGCUGUUCAGUGGCCUACGACCUUCCUAACUUGACUUUCAGAGUCUAGAACAUCUCUGGCAUUGACCGUGGGGUCUCCCAGGGGCAGUCCAGUAUACAGUGGGCAUCGAGCAUCCUUGGCAGUGCAGGCUUAAAAGUUCAUCCUCUCCACUGGACUGAGUGCAAAGCCCUCGUCGCUGCUUCCGUCUCCCCUGCAAAUAGCUUCUCCCCCGUAAGCUGGUGAAAUACAAGGUCUGGCUGUAGCCAUCUCCUCCCCGCUCACUGCUGUUUAAAAUAUGAGACACUGCAUCAUAGUGUGGAGGUUCAAAAUUACCCCGAAGCAAUCAUUUCCUAGAGGGCUGGUAGUAAACAUUCUGUCACAGGACUAUAGAUUUUCUCCUGUCUCCAUCAAUCACCCCCCUGGGAGAUAUUAGGGAGAACGAACAGAGCCCGGGAGCAUCCCCACAUGCGUUCACUCCUGCCAGGUCCCUGCCGAGGGAGGUGUGCUUGAUGGCCCAUGGCAAACUGGCUCAAGGCAGGUGGGGUCCUUCUGCCAAAGGGCAAGAGAUGGGAUUUUGGGUGCUGUGUGUGGUCUGUUGGGUUAACCUUGGCACACCUGAGACCAGGCUAGCCCCUUUGGGAGCACCACGUGCCUAUUCAUCUUUCUCAUGUGCCAACUUAACCUUUAGUCUCCUCAGGGCAGAGCCGUUAUAUUAGCAUGCUAAUACUGCUUCACAGAGGAGGAAAUGGAGGGUUGGAGAUGUUGGGUGUCUCGUGUUGCCAGAGCUCAACCUAUUGGAUCUGGUAUGCCCUAUUUCCAGGGGUUGAGAGCUAUCUCACGGCACACAGCUGUAGGCUUAGUUGUUUUUUCUUUUCAAAACCUACUUUUAAUAACGGUUUUCAAACACUCCCGUCCCCCUUCUAGUUCACUGUCCAAAGGUAGGGGAGAAAGGAUGGUAAAGAGGACAACGGGAUGUGGUCCUGUAGUUCUUUGGGUCAAUUCCAAUCUCCAUUGUCAGGAUCCCAGCAGUCCAGUUCAGCAGUGUCAGGAUACCAGUUCAAAAGUGCCACCAAACAUGAGUCAGUAAUUGUAUCACGAUCCAGCAGAAACCGCCAGGCCUCCGCCAAAUCGGCCAAGUCAGCAUGAACGACCAGGACCAAUCAGAAUGCCACGAGUUCCCUGCGGCACCUCUCUCAAUGAAGUGACAAUCGGUGAAGAAGACGUGAGACCAAUGAAUGUUGCAUGGCUAGCUAAGUAAUUACCGUCUCUCCCCAAAUAUCACGUGUCCUCUCACGGGUCUUGCCUCAGCAAAGCACACGUGAGUCUGUAUCACAUGACACAACCAGAAGCUUUCCCUCCAUACAGCUUCUCUCAAAACACCCAGCUGUGUGCAGGCUACCGGCUCCCGUCCUCACUGACCAUUGAAGACCUUUUGUCUGCAUGGUACAGACAAGAAGGAUGGAGGCUCCAGUGUGGGGAGCUGCCCAGUUAGGUUCAGCAAGAAGAUGCUGGGCUACUUUCCGUUGUAUGAUAAACACUCCACCAAAGCAACCUGGGGGGGGGGUCGGGGAAGAGGGCUCUUUGGCUUCUGCUUCCAGGUCAAAGUUCAUCUUUGGGGCAAAUCAGGGCAGGAACUCAAGCAGGAGUUUGAAGUGGAAACGGUGGAGGGUGAUGCUGCCUUGCUCACUCAUUCACAGACACCGAGAGAGCGUGGCUGCAAGGAGCUGGGAUGCAGGACACCUCUUGAAGCUCGGUUGGAAUCAUCUUCCUAUGCUUCCCCCCCACAGUCACUGUCUGAGGCAAGCCAUGUGACAAGUUCAACAAAGAAAAAAGGAGUUUAGGCUCCUCCCACAGCAAGCACUGUCAGGUCACAUGGGCACGAGCUGGUGCCUAGGAUGCUGCAGAGGACAGAAAAGCUGGGAGGAAGACCUAAUCUCUGAGGUUGUUAGGCAUGGAAGUCAGGGUGCGUGUGCGUGUGUGUGUGUGUGUGUGUGUGUGUGUGUGUGUGUGUAUGUGUAUGUAUGGGUGUGAGUGUGUCUGUGUUUGUAUAUGUUUGUGUGAGUGUUGGUAUGUUUGUGUGUAUCUGUGUAUGUGUUUGUAUAUGUAUGGGUGUGAAUGAUUCUGUGUAUGUGUUUGUAUAUGUGUGUGUGUGUCUGUGUACGUACUUGUAUAUGUAUGUGUGAGUGUGUGUGGGUAUGUUAGUGUGUAUAUGUGUGUGUAUGUCCAUAUGUGUAUGUGAGUAUAUGCCUGUGUGUAUGUGUGUGUGUGUCUCUGUCCGUGUGUCUCUAUAUGUGUGUGUGUUUCUGUAUGUAUGUGUGUGUUUGUAUAUAUGUGUGUGCUAGUAUGUGGAUAUGUUAGGGUGUCUGUGUGUGUGUCUGUGUAUAUGCCUGUAUGCAUGUCUGUGUGUAUCUGUAUAUGUGCUUGUAUAUAUGUGUGUAUGAGUGUGUCUGUGUAUGUGUUUGUAUGUGUGUCUCUGUGUCUGUGUUUGUGUGUGUGUGUGCACGCGCGCACAUGUGUUUGUGAGUAUAUAUGUCUGUAUGUCUCUGUCCAUGUGUUUUUAUGUAUAUGUGUGUAUGAGUUCAUUUCUGUAUGUGUGAGUGUGUGUUUGUAUAUGUGUAUGUGCUAGUGUCUGUGGGUAUGUUAGUGUGUUUGUGUGUAUCUGAUUAUAUGCCUGUGUGUGUCUCUGUGUACAUGUAUGUACUAGUAUGUGUGGGUAUGUUGGUGUGACUAUAUGUGUAUGUGUGUGUGUGUGAGUAUAUGCCUGUGUGUGUAUCUGUGCACAUGUCUCUGUGAGUAUAUGAGUGGGUUUCUGUGUGAGUGUGUGUGUGUGUGUGUGUGUGUGUGUGUGUGUUAAUAGCUCUAGCUAGACACUGGGCUGGGGAGCACAGAAUGCCACAGCUUCACAGAGGGCACAUGGCCAAUCCUUUCAAGAAGGUUGUAGGACACCACCCUCUUGUCCUGGAGCAUCAGCAUCCAGGGAGAGGAACUUUGUUGUACUGCACCAAAAGCUUUGAGUUCCUAGGAAGAAAGGUUCCCAGCUGGAGACCUGAGAAGUGUUUAGCUGCCUAAAGACCCACUCACCCACCCACCCACUGCACCCUCAAGGAGUUCUCUUCAAUUUUAAGGAGUGUUCUUCACGGGCCUCUGCAGGAUGGUAGGGAGGGAGGCUUCAUUAAUGCAAAUUGUGUGGGUAGCUUUAAGGGAAAAAUCUACCUCUCCCUUUUAUGCAGCACGGCUCUCCUUGCUUAAUGAGCACUCUCCGAGUCCAUUUUCCUUAAGGGUUUUAAUGAAAGUAUAAUUUAAAAAAUUAAGACAGAAGGAGAAAGUGUUGAGAGAAAAGCCAUGUCUCCAGGAACGAGCCCUCAAGAUGUUCUCCACGCUGCAAGAGUGGUGGGGAGCCACCUCUGGGAGUACUGAGGAAUUUUUUUAAGGUUCCAUAAAACUCCAGCCCUUGUUGCUACGGCCUAGGGAUUCUUGGCCAGCAGAUAGGAAUUGGAUUUACGGGUAGGGUAAUGUGGCGGUUACUCAGUGGCAGUUUAAUUAAUGCUGAUAUAAGAGCUUGCUUCCUCUCAGACUUAAACUAUGAAGCACAGGAGGGAGAGACGGCUCUGUUUUUAAAGCUGUCUGAAGGCUCUGGUUGCUUUGGUGGGGAGAGGAGGAUGGGCUCUUGGGAGGUCACUCUUGAAGGGCAGCAGUUGGUGAAAUUGAGGUUUGGUCCCAUGUGCUACUAUGUGUGUGUGCAUAUGUGUACACGUGUAUAUUGUGUGAUGUGUGUGUAUAUGGGUAGGUGGUGUGUGUGUGUGGUGUGUGGUAUGUGUGCAUGUGUGUGGUGUGCAUGUGUGUGGAGUGUGUGUAUAUGUGUGUGGCGUGUCUGGGUAGUGUGUGAUGUGUAUUAUGUGGGUGGGUAGUGUGUGUGGUAUGUGUAUGUGCAUGUGUGGGGGUGUAUGUAUGCAUGUACAUAUAUGUGUGGUGUAUAUGGGGGUGUGGGUAUAUGUGCGUGCACAUGCAUGUGCAUGUAUGUGCAUAUGUGGUGUGCAUGUGUGUGUGCUUGUGUGUGGUGUGUGUUUGUGGCAUGGGUGGGAUGUGUGUGCAUGUGUGUGUGUGUGUGGUAUGUGUGCCUCUGUGUGGUGUGUGUAUGUAUGUGUACAUGUAUGUGUGUGCAUGUAUGUGUGUGCAUGUGUGCAUGUAUGGAGUGUGUGUAUGUGGGUGGGUAGUGUGUGUUGUGUGUGGUAUGUGUAUGUGUGUGUGGUAUGUGGAAUGUAGGUAUGUAUGUGCAUGUAUGUGAUGUGUGUGGCUUGUGUGUGUGUAUGGGGUGUGUGUGGGUAUGUAUGUGCACGUGUGUGUGUGUGGCGUGUGAAUAUGUGUGUGUGGCGUGUGAAUAUGUGUGUGUAUAUGCAUGUGUGCAUGUAAUGACCAGCACUGAGCAUCUCUCCAUGACCUCAUUGGCCAUUUGUGUAUCUUUCUUAGUGAAGCAUCUAUUCACACUCUUUGCUCAUUUAUUUAAUUAAUAACUUUCAUUGUUGAAUUGCAAAACUCUUUGCAUAUUCUGGCUCGAAGUCCAUCUUCACGGCUCUCGACGUUCUCCCUCCAUUCUGUGGUUUGUCUUCUUGCUGACUUGCUGGCAUCUUUUCAAAAAGAAAAUAGUUUUAGUUUGAAGAGGAGCCAAUUUCCUUUCUCUUCUCUCGCUUCUGCCGUGGGUUUCAUGCUCAUGUCACUAAGCCCGAGGCCAUGGCCAUCUUUGUCCCCUCCGAGAAUGUUAUGAUGCCAGCUGCACGGCAGGGGAAGGAGUCCUUUUCACUCUGGGAACAUGGGUUGAUCCCAUUUGUUAGGAUGCUCGUUGAUCUCUUCACCAACUGUUCUUGAUACCCUUUAUGAAGAUGUUUUGUUUUGAACUGUGUGUGUGUGUGUGUGUGUGUGUAUUUGUGUAUAUAUGUGUAUGUACCUAUGUGUAGGUAUGCAUGUGUGUGAGUGUGUGUUGUGUGUAUUGUGUAUGUGUAUUGGGUGUAAUGUAUGUGUGUCUAUGUGUGCCUGCAUAUGUGUAUGUGUGUAUAUGCAUCUGUGUGUAUGUGUACAUAUGUGUAUGUAUGUAUAUGUAUAGAUGUAUGUGUUGGGUGUGUACAUAUGUGUAUGUGUGUAUAUGUACAUAUGUAUGUGUUGGGUGUGUGCAUAUGUGUAUCUAUGUAUAUGUACAUAUGUAUUUGUUGGGUGUGUGCAUAUGUGUGUGUUUAUGUGUAUGUUGGGUGUGUACAUGUGUGCAUGUGUGAGACCUAGGCUCAGAGACACAAGAACAUUUGCAUGGAUAGUAAGUUGCAGAGCUAAGAUUUGAACCCAUGUCUCUUUGACUCUGGGGAUGUGUUUAAUUGUAUUACUGGGUGCUUUUCUACACAAAGAGAGGUAGCUUCACAACCCACGGGGAGUUCGUGAGACAGAUUCUGAACCACUGAGGUUUCAGCUGCUGCCCUUGUAGAACGAAGCCUGCCCUACUGUGUUCCUGUGGGAGAAACUGAGCGGCACAGAGAUGUCAAAUUUACCUGACCCAGGUUUCACACUGGGCCAGCUAGGCUCAUUCCUGUAGCACAAAUUGAGAGACACCUGGGAGACGAGUUUUCUUGUCUUGCCUGGCACAAGGAGAGCUAGGGAGACACUGGCUGUAGCCAUUCCUCUCACAGCCAGAUAGCAGCAAGCCAUUUAGAGGGGACAGUGGCAGGGAGAUGAAGGAAGCCCAUUCUUCGACGGCGGUCAGCCACAGUGAAGAGGACAGGAUGAGAAAAUACUGCAGGGGGCAUCCCUGGCCACAGGGAUUUCUCGGAUUCAUAUUAAAGGUCAUUGUUCAUAAUCAUAAGCACUUUAUUUUAUGAGAGCACUGUUGGGCAUCUUGAUGGACGGGGCCCAGUAACACCAGUAGGAGUGUGUGCUGUAUGUGUGUGUGCUAUACACACUGCAUGUCUACAUGCUUAUACAUACACAUUUUGUGUAUGCAUGUGGGUGCACAUUGUAUGUGUGUGGCUGUGUAUAUCUAUACUGUGUGUACAUGUGUGUGCUGUAUGCAUAUGUGUGUAUGUGUCCUAUGCAUGUCCAUGUGUACCAUGUAUGUAUGUUGAUUUCUGCGCUGUGUUCAUAUGUGUGUUAUAUGAAUAUGCUGUGGAUUGUGUGGGUUAAUGUGCAUGCUCCAUAUAUGUGUUGUGUGUGCAUGUGCUGUACCACAUGUGUGUGCAUGCACUCUGUGGGUGCAUGUGCCACAGGUGUACUUUGGAUGAUGCACUGUGUGUGCAUGUGUGCUAUGUGUGUACUGCAUGUGCAUUCCCUGUGCUGUAGCCUCCUAUGGAAAUCAUCGUUUUGACCCCACAGAAGCAGUGAGGCUGGGUGAGAUUGAGUCUUCAAGGCAAUCUGCCCCUUGCUUCCGGUGUGUGGUGAUGCUCAUGGUGUCCCUCUCUGCAGCUGGAGAUCUGGGAAGCAGAGAGCAAUGGUUCCGGGGGAAGGGAAGCCAGGUAGAGCCUGGAGACGGGAAGAUAUGGCUGUGUGUCAUCAAGGAUGUUAAGAACUAUGUGCUUCUAGGUAGAAGCUAAAGGAACAGGACACGGGGUUCAGGACCUCUGCUCCUGUGCUCUAGACUUCUGUUCAGAUCUAUGUGGUCCUUGAGGUUUGUCUGCCCAGUUUGUCCCUUGCAAAACUCAUGGUGAAGUCUGCUCCCCAAAGUCACAGUGUCGAGAUGGAGCAGAACUGUCAUUUCUCAUGGGUUGGGUCUGGUCUCACGGUAGCGAGUGUGUCCAGGCUCUGUGGGGAUGGUGCUGUGACUGCUGGUACAGGGUGUCACAUGGAGUCAGCCAGUAUCUUCCAUUCUGCUUUCUGCCAUUUACUGAAGCAGCAGGAGACUCUCAAAUGCAGCUGCCCCAUGGGGGACUUAACAUUCACAAUGUAACAUUCUUUCUUUUAUAAUGUAACCAGUCUCAGAGAAAAAAGAAAAAAAAGAGCUAGACUCAGACCAGGUGUGUAGUGCCUUGGCCUGGUUUGUUUCUUCCUUUCCUGUUUGUUGACCACUUGUGAAGCCCACAGAGCUGUUUCCUUAGACUUGGCUUUCAGAAACUACUUCUUCAGAACAGAGCUGAGCAGAGCUCAGCAGUUGUGACUGAGCCACAGUGUCAUUUGCAUGCGCAGUGAUUUGCUCAGUUAAUUUGCAUGAAAGCCGCAUCAGUUUGGUUACAUAAUUGAUCAAGUUAAGACAGUGAGCCGAUCUGAGGGUAUUUUGAAAAUUCUUCUCUCUUACCCAAAUCAGCUUAUUGGUUUAAUCUGGUUUUGUGGCUACUGAAAACUCUGAUAUCUCCAUGAGAAGUGGUUUCCCAACUCUACCGGGUUAAACCCUGAUCCCUCACAAGCCUCCACCAAAGCCCACAGCUGGCGGCAUCAAGAGCUUGCUGUGAGCCUCCAUGCAGCCAAGACUGCAGGAGAGAGGAGGAGACCUGGGACUGACUGCACUGUGCCCCACUGUGGGGCUGAAUAUUAUGUUGCUCCAAACCGGUGAGCUCGGAAUUGUAACUUGUUGGAAGAUCCUCAGAAAACACCUGCUCUAGCUAGCAGUGUGUGCCCUUCCCACAGAGCACCACCUAUGGGCAUGAUGGCACCUUCACACAUGGUCUCAAGGACAUGCGGGCUUUUGGCUACUCCGUGGUCAACAAUGAACUCAUGUCCAAUCAGAGAGCCAGUUGGUAGGCAGGCAAAAACAAAUAACAGUGUACAUAUCAACAAUGCUGGGAGUGCGUGGGUGUCCUGGCAUUUGCCUGUUCUGGAAACGAGGCUUUGAGAAAGCCCCUCCUGCUCUGUUUCAGUGACCCAGGCUUAGAGGGUUGGACUAUAGAAGCCAGUAAGAUAACCUUCACUGAGGCUGCACACACUCAGUCCUCAGUCAGGACUGACCAUCCUUAUGUGUUGUCACCACA